GACAGAGGGUGCAAACGUUGCUCGGAAUCACUGGGCGUAAAGGGCGCGUAGGCGGGCAUGUAAGUCGGGCGUGAAAUCCCUAGGCUCAACCUAGGAACUGCACUCGAAACUGCGUUUCUUGAGUAUCGGAGAGGAAAGCGGAAUUCCUGGUGUAGAGGUGAAAUUCGUAGAUAUCAGGAGGAACACCAGUGGCGAAGGCGGCUUUCUGGACGGUAACUGACGCUGAGGCGCGAAAGCGUGGGGAGCAAACAGG
rnacentral:rRNA from 1 species